rnacentral:SRP_RNA from 1 species
GCCGGACAUCUGUAGUCCCAGCUACUCGGGAGGCUGGGGUGGGAGGAUGGCUUGAGCCCAGGAAUUCUGGGCUGUAGCGCUUUCUGACAAUAGGCGUUAGGCAUCAAUGUAGUGACCUCCCAGGAGCAGGGGACCACCAGGUUACCUAAGGAGGGGCGAACCCACCAGGCUGGAAACGAAGCAUGUCAAAACUCCUGCGCUGAUCAGUAGUGGAUCCUGCCCGUGAAGAGCCACUGUGCUCCAGCCUGGGCAACAUAGCAAGAUCCCGUCUCU